UACGUAGGGUGCGAGCGUUGCCCGGAUUUAUUGGGCGUAAAGGGCGCGUAGGCGGCCACGCACGUCCGUUGUGAAAUCGCCCGGCUCAACUGGGCUAGGUCAGCGGAUACGGUGUGGCUCGAGCAAGCUAGGGGGCAAUGGAAUUCCCGGGUGUAGUGGUGGAAUGCGUAGAUAUCGGGAGGAACACCAGUGGCGAAGGCGGUUGCCUGGAGCUUUGCUGACGCUGAUGCGCGAAAGCG
rnacentral:rRNA from 1 species